rnacentral:sRNA from 1 species
GCAAAUGGAACAUCGACUAAGUUCGUCACGUCCUGUGACAACGUCGAUGCCAGCACAUCCAUGUGCA